CAGCCCUAAACGAUGCGCGUUAGGUGUAUCGGUGACCACGAGUCACCGAGGUGCCGAAGGGAAACCGUGAAACGUGCCGCCUGGGAAGUACGGUCGCAAGGCUGAAACUUAAAGGAAUUGGCGGGGGGAGCACCACAACGGGUGGAGCCUGCGGUUUAAUUGGACUCAACGCCGGGAAGCUCACCGGGAGCGACAGCAGUAUGAUUGCCAGGUUGAUGACCUUGCUUGACAAGCUGAGAGGAGGUGCAUGGCGUAGUCGUGU
rnacentral:rRNA from 1 species